rnacentral:rRNA from 1 species
UAGCGGCAGGCUUAACACAUGCAAGUCGAGGGGCAGCAUAAUAGUAGUAAUACUAUGGUGGCGACCGGCAGACGGGUGCGUAACGCGUAUACAACCUACCCUUGAAAGGGGAAUAACCCGGAGAAAUUCGGACUAAUACCCCGUAAGUAUUCGAUUGGCAUCAAUUGGAUAUGAGAGAUUUAUCGUUCAAGGAUGGGUAUGCGUGACAUUAGGAAGUUGGUGAGGUAACGGCUCACCAAUCCGACGAUGUCUAGGGGUUCUGAGAGGAAGGUCCCCCACACUGGUACUGAGACACGGACCAGACUCCUACGGGAGGCAGCAGUGAGGAAUAUUGGUCAAUGGACGAGAGUCUGAACCAGCCAUGCCGCGUGCAGGAAGAAUGCUCUAUGAGUUGUAAACUGCUUUUAUACAAGAAUAAUAAGCUCGACGUGUCGGGUGAUGAAUGUAUUGUAUGAAUAAGGACCGGCUAACUCCGUGCCGGCUUGAAAGUUAGUGACCGGUGGUGAAAGCCACUCUUCCAGCAAUGGACACGAAACUAGGUGCUGCAUGGUUGUCGUCAGCUCGUGCCCGUGAGGUGUCGGGUUAAGUCCCAUAACGAGCGCAACCCCCUGUCGUUAGUUGCUAGCAGGUAAUGCUGAGGACUCUAACGAGACUGCCGGUGUAAACCGAGAGGAAGGUGGGGAUGACGUCAAAUCAGCACGGCCCUUACGUCCGGGGCGACACACGUGUUACAAUGGAUGGUACAAAGGGUUGCGACAUAGUGAUAUGAAGCCAAUCUCAAAAAGCCAUUCUCAGUUCGGAUCGCAGGCUGAAACUCGCCUACGUGAAGUUGGAUUCGCUAGUAAUCGUAUAUCAGCCAUGAUACGGUGAUUACGUUCCCGGGCCUUGUACACACCACCCGUCAAGCCAUGGAAGUUGGGGGUGCCUGAAGUACGUGUGCGUCAAGCAGCGUCCUAGGGCAAAACCGAUA